GUUAUAACUGGACACAAUAUCUUUAUUUUAUUUAUUUGUUUUUGUGUGGUGCUGAGGAUUGAACUCAGGGCCUCGAACAUGCUAGACAAGCACUCUACCGCUGAGCCCCACCCUGGCCCCAUUAGUGAGUUGUUUUGAUUGAGUAUAUUCAUUGCCUGGCAGGCAUUCGUGGAACUUUAUAGAUUCUUCCUUGGUCUUGGUAGAAGUGCCUCUCUGGCACAGUUAGAUGGAUUUUGAAGGGCACUCUCCUUUGUCCUUGUGUUGGGUAUAUACAAGUACUGCUGGGACUGCAGUUGGAGUUGUGGCAGUGGAGGGCUUGCUCCUGCUUUCACUUUGGACAGCAGCACCGCUGACGUCUGCCAGCUUGUCAAGAGCCAAGACACCACUGAAAUCAUUUGCCUUAUUUUAAAAUUACACAGUGAAGUUUCUCCCAAUUUGUUCAUGUGUUUGAGCAGCUGUUCUUAUCCAAAGGCCAACUUUCUUGAAAACUUCAAUUUUCAGAACACAUUUCUUCAUUUGCUGCAAUCAGUGUGACUCAGUUAACUUGCCACCCACUUUCUUUGGCUAGCAAGUGAACCACUAGAAACUUACUUUGGUUAUAACCUUGCUUUUGUUUUUUUGUUUCUUUGAAAAAAGAAAUCUGUGUUGAAAUAACCUGUUUUCGAUUUUCUGAUUUUCCUGACAAUUGCUCUCUUGUGGUGGUAGUAUUGUGGUGAAUACACAGGAUUUUAGUGUCAGCAUGUACUAUGUUAUUUGGCACCACUGUAUUAUCAUUGCAUAAUAACCGUGACACUUUGCCAUCUACUUCAACAGUAAAAUGAUCCGUACUUCACUGUGGAGGGCUGGGUACCCACAUGAGAAGCCUUAACUUUCAGCAGAUGAUAUAUUUAAUUUCUUUGGGUAAACCCCACCCCCAGCUGAAAAGUUCCUGGUUGGUUGUGUUCUGGUGAAUGGUGAGAAUUUGCAUAAUAGCUUUGUCUUUUCUUGGUAGAAUUUUAGUUCAUUCUCAUUUGUAGCUCAGUCUCUCACUUUCCAUUCUAAGGCCAGCCCUAAGAACAUAACUUCCUGUCAAAACUUUUUCAAACUCUCUGAAUUACUUCUCACCCUUUGCACACACAGUUAUCCACACAGUCAUUUGUACUCAGUUUUAUUUCUUUGGAGGAAGCCUUAUUCAUUCAAUAGACCAUAGUGAUCAAAAACAAAAAAUAACCCUUUCACUUGAGAAAAAAAUUUAUUUAAUUUAGACUACUUUACAAAAGGAGAGAAGGGUAAUAUCCUGUUUUUAUACUUCUUUUUUUCAGUGCCAAGAAUUGAACCCAGGGCCUUGCACAAGAGCAAGUGCUCUACCACUGAGUUAUGUCCCCAGCCCUUUAUAAAAUUUUAUUUCAAGACAGAGUCACAAUGUUUCCCAUGCUGGCUUUGAACUUAUGAUCCUCCUACCUUAGCCACCCAAGUCCCUGGGAUUUUAGGUGCGUGCCACUGUGCCCUGCGUCAUGUUUGUGUACUUUGUAAAUUACACACAGAACAACAAACUGAAGCUAAGUUUAUAACAAGCUAAGUGAAGAAAAGUCAUCGGUCAUUUGAAUCUUAUGUAUUUCAGUGCCCUCUGGAAAGAAUCAUUAGCAAUAUUCAUCUCUAAUAAAAUAACAUAAUUGAUGGUCCUGGCUUUAUUAAUGUUGCCAAAUCAUCAUUCAGUACAAACCAGGCAUGCUUUUGCUGUGGCGAAAGGAGUCUGCUCUGGCAUUUAGACCUGUGUGUUUGUGUAAGUGGGGGCACAUAAUCAUUCAUGUGGAUUGUUGUGAUAUUUUGAAUCAGAUACACUGGAGGAAGUCUCAGUAACUAAACUUCAUGGAGAUUACUGCAUAGUGGAUAAUAUUUGGUUUCCUCUAUACUUGAUAAAGGCCAAAAUCAAGGUAAACAUAAUAAUCUAUCACAAGGUUGGCCAGCAUUUCCAUGAAAUACCAGUUAGUGAAUCUUUUCAACCUUGUGGGCCAUGUUGCCUCUGUCACCACCAAGACAAUACAAAGUGCAUAGGUGUACAGUAUUCCAGUAAAACUUUAUUUACACCAUGUAUGAUAGCACAUGCCUGUGAACCCAGUGACUCAGGAGGCUGAAGCAGGAAGAUCAAAAGCCAGCCUGGGCAACUUAGCGAGAUCCUGUCUCAAAAUAAAAAGAUAGGGGGAGCUGGAUAUGUUACUCAGUGACAGAGCACUUGCCUAACGUGCAAACCUCAAAAAGCAAACACACACACAAGCAAAAAUCCACUUCAUUUACAAAAACAAAUGGCCAGACUCAAGUUUGCCAACCCUUAAUUUGUCAAUCCACAAGUUAAAUUUAUCUUGUGGUAAAGGUACUCUUCCGUGAAGACUUGAGUCAAGGAAUGUAGUAACCUGAAAGCGGUAGAUGAGUUGGAGUUUUGUCUAGUGCAAUGAAGAUAAAAUGUACAUUGAAGUCAUUGUCAGAUUAACAAACUUCUUUAGCCCAAGAAUUUUUUAAGCAGGCAGCAAGUUCAUUUCUAGGUUUACAAUCAGUCCUCUGGUGUAUGAUUCCUAUCCUUGAAGUUAACCAUCAAAAGUAAACCAUUAAGUUAUUCUUGAUUUUGUUUGUUUUGUUGCCUUAGUUAUCACGUGAAGGUAAAUAAAAAGACCAAGGUCCCCAAAGUAUGCGCUGUGUGUGUGUGUGUGUGUGUGUGAGAGAGAGAGAGAGAGAGAAUGUGUGUGUGAUGCUGGAGUAGAACCCAGGACCUCACACACACUCUGAAAAUGCUCUACUACUGAGCUACAUCCCCAGCCCCUCCACAGCAUGCUUUGGAGCAGAAUCUUUGGCCACUGUAAUGGCGGGCAUGUCAUCUCCUGACAUCAGAAUAGCAACCCUUUUGUACUUGGUCAUUUAAAAAAAAAAAAAAAAAACUUUUCAUUUAAAAUGUACUGUACAUUGUACACAUUAAUUAUAUAACAAUAUACUAUGUCACCACCUAAAUAAC
rnacentral:lncRNA from 1 species